rnacentral:RNase_P_RNA from 1 species
CGAGCCGGCUGGACGGUCGCGGCGGGAUCCUCCGGAUCCUGUCGAGGAAAGUCCGGACUCCACAGGGCAAGGUGGUUGUUAACGACAACCCGGGGUGACCCGCGGGACAGUGCCACAGAAAACAGACCGCCAGCGCGUCCGCGCGCUGGUAAGGGUGAAACGGCGGUGUAAGAGACCACCAGCGUUCCGGGUGACCGGAGCGGCUAGGCAAACCCCACCUGGAGCAAGAUCGAGAAGAGUCAUCUCGGCAACGGGGUGGCUCGCGCAGGCGCUCGAGGGCGGCCCGCCCGAGCCUGCGGGUAGAUCGCUAGAGCCUGCCGGCGACGGCAGGUCGAGAUGGAUGGCCGUCACCCGGCGCGCGAGUGUCGGGCACAGGAUCCGGCUUACAGGCCGACUCGUCCG